CAGCGCGGGUGCGGAGUUGCCCCGAAGGGCCCUCUCGGGCGCUGGGGAACGGGGGACGCGUGAGCAGGCCUUUCCUGCUGGCCGGAGCUUCCCUCGGGCCUUGGGGCUCUGGCCCUCCGCUGCUCGGGCUGCGAUUUCCUUGGGGCAUCUGGUCGCCUCUUCCCUAAUCCACGUCCUGGUGCUCAGGGCCUUUGGCUCUAUCUAGAGUCUUGGUCUCCGCCUGCUGCCAGCCUUUUGGGUUUCGAAUUAUUUGCCCGAGGUAGUGUCGCUCUAGAUAAAGCACACCAUCAUGGGGUGAGAGAUGACUGAGGCACAGAUGCUCACGGCCCCCUUCUUCCAAUUUAGUGACUGAACUCUGAAUGGAAAAGAUGUUCAGCCCGUGAUGAGCGUGACUAUGAAUAGCGCCUCGUGAGCCAUCGGGACCUUGCAGACGCAGCUCCAGCCCGGGGACUGCAGCCGCUGCAGCUCCGCACCCUCCUCCCGGCGCGCCAAGGCCGUCUCAGGAACCUGCUGGUAGCGUCCGGCAGUGAAGUGACGUGAGGGGAACAGCAAAGGAGAGAAGCAUUCAGCAGCGGUUGUAAGAUCUGACACUAGCCCUGCUGUCCAGUUCUUGAGCAGCCUUCCAGGAGGGGCUGCUGGAAAGCAGAUCCCAUUCACACAGGAGGCCUCACCCUGUGCUCCAGGUGCUCCCAGGGUACAGGCAUCAUCUCUGGCAGGAGCAAAGAGAGGAGAUGUAAGAUCUGCUCUUAUCCUGGGCUUCUCUGAACCCCCUUCUGAAGUGCAGAGGAUUCAGGUCAGUUCGGGCUCUGCUGGUUUUUGCUUUUGCAUUGCUCUUAAUGCGGAUCCUAUGCAUGUGAGGGAUGAAAGUAUACGUGCACAUGUAUAUAUUUUGAAGAACGACUAAAGCUGAAAUGAACUGCAGUUCACUUCUCACCUUUUCUCCUUGGUGGAAGUCUGUCUCCUGAAAUUUGAAACUAGAGCGUGAUUGAUUUUCCUGGUGUCGCUGCCUUCCCGGUAGUUUCUGCGGGAGGCUCCUGCGCGCCCUGGUGUCGCUGCCUUCCCGGUAGUUUCUGCGGGAGGCUCCUGCGCGCCGCCCGGGGCCGCA
rnacentral:lncRNA from 1 species